rnacentral:ribozyme from 1 species
UGCCCUGCAACUUCUAUCCCUACUUCCUCGUGGUACUGGCCGGGGUACGUUCGCUGACUGAUAAGGGGGAGGG